rnacentral:rRNA from 1 species
UACGUAGGGACCAAGCGUUGUUCGGAUUUACUGGGCGUAAAGGGCGCGUAGGCGGCGUGGUAAGUCACUUGUGAAAUCUCUGAGCUUAACUCAGAACGGCCAAGUGAUACUGCUGUGCUAGAGUGCAGAAGGGGCAAUCGGAAUUCUUGGUGUAGCGGUGAAAUGCGUAGAUAUCAAGAGGAACACCUGAGGUGAAGACGGGUUGCUGGGCUGACACUGACGCUGAGGAGCGAAGCUAGGGGAGCAAACGGG